rnacentral:rRNA from 1 species
UGUAACUUGCCUCUAAGUUGGGUAUAACACUCCGAAAGGGGUGCUAAUCCCGAAUGUGGCUGCCGAUAGACAACUGUUGGCAGUUAAAGGUGGCCUCUACAUGUAAGCUACCGCUUAGAGAUAGGCCCGCGUCCCAUCAGCUUGUUGGUAGGGUAAUGGCCUACCAAGGCAUUUGACGGGUAGCUGGUCUGAGAGGAUGGUCAGCCACACUGGAACUGAGACACGGUCCAGACUCCUACGGGAGGCUGCAGUCGAGAAUCUUUCGCAAUGGGGGAAACCCUGACGACGCGACGCCGCGUGGAUGAUGAAGGCCUUCGGGUUGUAAAAUCCUUUCGGGUGGGAGGAAUGUCUCGAAACGAAUAAUUUUGAGAUUUGACAGUACCACCUAAAGAAGCCACGGCUAACUCCGUGCCAGCAGCCGCGGUAAUACGGAGGUGGCGAGCGUUGCUCGGAUUCAUUGGGUGUAAAGGGCAAGUAGGCGGCUUGCUAAGUCAGACGUGAAAGCCCCGGGCUCAACCUGGGAAAUGCGUCUGAUACUGGCGAGCUUGAGGAUGGGAGAGGAGAGUGGAAUUCCCGGUGUAAGGGUGUAAUCUGUAGAUAUCGGGAGGAACACCAGUGGCGAAGGCGACUCUCUGGCCCAUUUCUGGCGCUGAGAGGCGAAAGCUGGGGGAGCAAACAGGAUUAGAUACCCUGGUAGUCCCAGCUGUCAACGAUGGGCACUAGGUGUAGGGUCCUCCGGGAUUCUGUGCCGCAGCUAACGCGUUAAGUGCCCCACCUGGGGAGUACGGUCGCAAGACUGAAACUCAAAGGAAUUGACGGGGACCCGCACAAGCGGUGGAGCAUGUGGUUUAAUACGACGAUACGCGUGGAACCUCACCAGGGCCUGACAUGCUAGAAGUAGGAACCUGAAAGGGAGACGACUCGUAACCAAUCGAGAGCUAGCACAGGUGUUGCAUGGCUGUCGUCAGCUCGUGCUGUGAAGUGUUGGGUUAAGUCCCGCAACGAGCGCAACCCUCGUCCCAUGUUGCUCGCUUAAUAAGCUGCACUCUUGGGAGACUGCCAGGGAUAACCUGGAGGAAGGUGGGGAUGACGUCAAGUCAGUAUGGCCCUUACGCCCUGGGCUACACACGUGCUACAAUGGCCGGUACAAUGGGUCGCAAUACCGCGAGGUGGAGCUAAUCCUCAAAGCCGGUCUCAGUUCGGAUUGGAGGCUGCAAUUCGCCUCCAUGAAGCUGGAAUCGCUAGUAACGGCGCAUCAGCACGGCGCCGUGAAUACGUUCCCGGGUCUUGUACACACCGCCCGUCAAGCGACGGAAGCUGGGGGUACCUGAAGUCGUUAACCCAACCCGCAAGGGAGGGAGACGCCCAAGGUAAAACUGGUGACUGGCGCUAAGUCGUAACAAGGUA